rnacentral:rRNA from 1 species
GGGGGGGGGGGGGGGGGGGGGGGGUGCGGGCGGGGCGGGCGGGCGGGCGAGAAGCUUGCGUCUCUGAUGUUAGCGGCGGACGGGUGAGUAACACGUGGAUAACCUACCUAUAAGACUGGGAUAACUUCGGGAAACCGUAGCUAAUACCGGAUAAUAUUUUGAACCGCAUGGUUCAAAAGUGAAAGACGGUCUUGCUGUCACUUAUAGAUGGAUCCGCGCUGCAUUAGCUAGUUGGUAAGGUAACGGCUUACCAAGGCAACGAUGCAUAGCCGACCUGAGAGGGUGAUCGGCCACACUGGAACUGAGACACGGUCCAGACUCCUACGGGAGGCAGCAGUAGGGAAUCUUCCGCAAUGGGCGAAAGCCUGACGGAGCAACGCCGCGUGAGUGAUGAAGGUCUUCGGAUCGUAAAACUCUGUUAUUAGGGAAGAACAUAUGUGUAAGUAACUGUGCACAUCUUGACGGUACCUAAUCAGAAAGCCACGGCUAACUACGUG